rnacentral:tRNA from 1 species
GUUCUUAUAGUUGAAAUACAACGAUGGUUUUUCAUAUCA